UAUAUAUGUAUGUAAAACAUAUAUAAAAAUAUGUCUACUCAAGCAUUUAUCACUUUCUCAUGAUGGUUUGGUAUGUUUCUUUAUCUGUCAAUUGUAAAGAAGCUUGCUAACUAUAAGCAUUUCCUUUUUCUUGCAUGAUUAUUCGUGCUUUGCUUUCAGGUAUUUGGCUCUGCGGGUGUUAUUGGAAAUCCAAUGGGUUUUGCAAGAAAUGUUGGAGUUGGUAUCAAGGAUUUUCUCUCAGUUUCUAGCAAAGGAAUUGUGCAGAGGAAUUAACUAUAAACCAGGCUCAACAGUUUGAUGUCCUUUGCAAAAUGAAUAGUUCUUGUCAGUAUGAAUUAUCCUCAUCAGCAAUGAGAAAACACAUAAUUGAAUGAAUUUGGAGCAUGUGGUCAAUCUUAUUCAGCUGUUGACUCAAGUCAAGUAACUGAUAAUUCUUCCGAGCAGAGUAGAUAUCAAUCGCAUUAUUGUCAUUGAAAACUGAAGAUCUUAUCAUGAUUUAUAUACAUUUGAUUAGCUAUACUUCCGUAGGUAUAUCUGCAAAUCCUUAUAUGCCUGAUUGAGAUAAUCAUCUUCCACUGAAAUUUUGAAGAAACCAGAACCAAAAUUUACUAAAGGCAGCUGAGGAAGUACAAUCUAGUCUGGAGAGUUACACAUCAUGCUUUUCAGAUAAGAUCAAGAAAAGGACAUACAACUAAUGUUAUCAGGAUCUUGUUUGUUUCCCAGCAACAAGGCUGCAAUAUUGAAUUUUAAUGUUGCAUGUGGAAUGGAGUUUUAAUGUUGUUUUGAUACAAGUAUUUGUAUAGUUAUACUACAUGAUUUCCAAUGUAUAUAGAGGGCAUCUAUAUGUAUUGUUAA